rnacentral:lncRNA from 1 species
AUAUUAGACUUGUUUUCCUAUGUCCAUGAGAAAUUUGAAACCAAUCGAACGGCGCAAAGAAGAGAAAUUGGCUCUGGAAGGUUGGCAACAAGAUUGGAGAAGGAGGCCGGCUAACACCCGAAUACAUUUUUGAGGUUUUCGUCAAUUUAGUAACUCCGAUCCUUUUCAAAAAAAAUUUUUCUUGUUUUGAACUUGAUUUUUAAGAAGUGUGCAAAUUUUGAAUUGAGAUCAACGGUUUAUUCAUUAGAUAUUGAGGUUUAAAUCUGUGAUAGGAAUUACUAGGAUUUGGAUUAGGGUUUGGCUAGAGUUCGGUUUAGGAUUUGGAUUAGGGUUUGGUUAGGAUUUGAUUUAGGAUUUGGAUUAGAGUUUGGACUAGGAUUUGGUUAGGGUUUGAUUUAAGAUUUGAUUUAGGGUUUAGGAUUUGGAUUAGAAUUUAGGAUUGGAUUAGGGUUUGGAUUAGGAUUUGGAUUAGGGUUUAGGGUUUGGUUAGGGUUUGAUUUAGGGUUUGGAUUAAGGUUUGGUUAGGAUUUGAUUUAAGGUUUGGUUUAGGGUUUAGGGUUGGAUUGGGGUUUGGUUUAGGGUUUGAUUUAGGGUUGGUUUAGGAUUUAUGGUUUGGAAUAGGAUUUAAUUUAAGAUUUGUUUAGGAUUUGACUUAGGGUUUAGGAAUUAUUAGGGUUUAAGAUUUAAUUAGGUUUGGUCUAAAGUUGAGUGAAAUUCAAUAGGGUUUAACUAGAAUUAAAUUAAGGUUGAAUUGACAUAUAUUUGAGUAAAAUUUGUGAUCAUUCUAAUAUUUCUUUAAGAAUUUUAUUGUUUGUUUGAAAUUUCUUUGAGUUGUUUUGAAUUUGAUUACGUUUGUUUACCA